rnacentral:rRNA from 1 species
GGAAUUGUUCGCAAUGGGCGCAAGCCUGACGACGCAACGCCGCGUGGAGGAUGAAGAUUUUCGGAUCGUAAACUCCUGUCGAAUGGGACGAAUAGGUUGCGGGUUAACCGCCCGUGAUCCUGACGGUACCGUUACAGGACACCCCGGCUACCUCCGUGCCAGCCGCCGCGGUAAUACGGGGGGGGUAAGCGUUGUUCGGAAUUACUGGGCGUAAAGGGCUCGUAGGCGGCCAACUAAGUCAUACGUGAAAUCCCUCAGCUUAACUGGGGAACUGCGUCUGAUACUGGAUGGCUCGGAUUUGGGAGAGGGAUGCGGAAUUCCAGGUGUAGCGGUGAAAUGCGUAGAUAUCUGGAGGAACACCGGUGGCGAAGGCGGCAUCCUGGACCAACAUUGACGCUGAGGAGCGAAAGCCAGGGGAGCAA